UCCAGAUGUAGGUGAGCCACUGACUAACGCACAUUGCGCUGCUACCUGAAUGCCACUGUGCGUGUGACAGCGGCUAACCAGCUUCUCGGACUGCAACUG